CACGGUGGUCCAGCGGUUAGAACGCCGGGUUGUAAUCCUGGGGUCUCGGGUUCGAUUCCCGGCGGUG
rnacentral:tRNA from 1 species